UACGCCAGCUAUUUAAUCUCACUUGGAAC
rnacentral:piRNA from 1 species